ACUAUUUUUAAUGUGCUCGCUUUAAAUGUUUGCCUUUAUAGUUUUCCGUUAUCGUGUGAUGUUAAAAUGUCACAUUAUUUCGCAAAUACUUUAUUCGAAUAAACGUUGAAGCCAGAAAAUGUAAUACGGAUGACUAUAAAUUAUUGUCAGGAAAAUUUUGAUGUCAUGUUAGCGCCUUUCUCCUGCCAAAAAAGUCAAAUAUGGUUUAGAUGAAAAUAUAUCUUUUACAUAUUUAAGUUAUGGGCAUCUGCUCUCAUCUGACAGCAUUAUUGAAAUAAUUAGCAAACGAAAAGGCCACAAAAAGACCAAAUACUGCACGCCUUUCGAGUAGAAACGGCCCGACGCUUCCCCUUCAGCUCAUAAUUGGGAGUGAUGCAACACUCCCAGCACCUCGUAUGCCUACGGAAGGACAGUUUUUGUAAAAUAGUGCAUUUUAAUAAUCUUAUAAACAAUAAUAAAAUUAGAUAGAGAUAGUUUGAAUGAAAAUAGAAAAUAGGAAUGGUCGUACAUAUUAAUUAAUAUUUUCUCUUACUACUUACGACUUGUGUUCACAUAAAGCAAUUUUACGUAUGUAUUUAAUUCGAGAAUCACAUAAAAGUAGCCAAUUUUAAA